CAUUAGGUAGUUUAUUUUAAAAUUUAAAUUUUGGAGAUUUAUGAUAUCUUAAUUGAUCCUUAUGA
rnacentral:tRNA from 1 species